GACGAACGCUGGAGGCGUGCUUAACACAUGCAAGUCGAACGGAAAGGCCCUGCUUUUGUGGGGUGCUCGAGUGGCGAACGGGUGAGUAACACGUGAGUAACCUGCCCUUGACUUUGGGAUAACUUCAGGAAACUGGGGCUAAUACCGGAUAGGAGCUCCUGCUGCAUGGUGGGGGUUGGAAAGUUUCGGCGGUUGGGGAUGGACUCGCGGCUUAUCAGCUUGUUGGUGGGGUAGUGGCUUACCAAGGCUUUGACGGGUAGCCGGCCUGAGAGGGUGACCGGCCACAUUGGGACUGAGAUACGGCCCAGACUCCUACGGGAGGCAGCAGUGGGGAAUAUUGCACAAUGGGCGGAAGCCUGAUGCAGCAUCGCCGCGUGCGGGAUGACGGCCUUCGGGUUGUAAACCGCUUUCGCCUGUGACGAAGCGUGAGUGACGGUAAUGGGUAAAGAAGCACCGGCUAACUACGUG
rnacentral:rRNA from 1 species